rnacentral:rRNA from 1 species
UGGGGAAUUUUGGACAAUGGGCGAAAGCCUGAUCCAGCAAUGCCGCGUGUGUGAAGAAGGCCUUCGGGUUGUAAAGCACUUUUGUCCGGAAAGAAAUCCUUGGCUCUAAUACAGUCGGGGGAUGACGGUACCGGAAGAAUAAGCACCGGCUAACUACGUGCCAGCAGCCGCGGUAAUACGUAGGGUGCAAGCGUUAAUCGGAAUUACUGGGCGUAAAGCGUGCGCAGGCGGUUUGCUAAGACCGAUGUGAAAUCCCCGGGCUCAACCUGGGAACUGCAUUGGUGACUGGCAGGCUAGAGUAUGGCAGAGGGGGGUAGAAUUCCACGUGUAGCAGUGAAAUGCGUAGAGAUGUGGAGGAAUACCGAUGGCGAAGGCAGCCCCCUGGGCCAAUACUGACGCUCAUGCACGAAAGCGUGGGGAGCAAACAGGAUUAGAUACCCUGGUAGUCCACGCCCUAA